AUGCUAGAAAGAAGCUCCAUCAGUGUUAUUUCACUGAUCUUGAAUCCUGUGCCUAUUAAAUGCUACAGCACUCAAGAACAGAGAAGUGCUAUGGAAAAUUAUAGUGUCCAUUCUGAAGAAAGAGCUCUUCCAGGGCUGGCACUGGAGUGGAGUUUGAGGUGUUUUAUGGACUGGAAUAAAAUCUAGCCCAGUAUACAUUCCUUUCA
rnacentral:lncRNA from 1 species